AGUAACUAGAUUGAGGGAAAACCUAGUGACAAUUCCAGACCACAGAGGUUGCCCCAGUCGACUGUAAAUGAUACCCCUUUCAUACCCUAUACAUAAUGAUUCCUGCCAUGUAUAUAAAUGAGCAAAUCAGUGAUACAUAUAUUUGGAUUUAGUGUGCUAUAGAAUUUACAGUUUACUCUACAGAGCUACCUAGCCUGGUACUCUGAUUUUUUCCCUGAGGAGGAAGAGAGCAACAAUUUAGCAUAUAUUUGUAAGUAUUGUCCAUGCAGAAGCUUUUCUGUGCAUCAUUUGAACCCCAUUAGUAUCCUUUCCAGUAAUGGAGUGUUCUGUCCCCUACCUCUUAGAUAGUCCUGUGAAGGUGUGGGUGUGAAAGAUCGUGUGUCUUUGAAUCCUGGCUGUGUGGAAACAGGCAUUUUAGCUUCUACAGCCAUUUGGUGUGCACCCAGACCCCUUGAGACUGAUUGUGUAACCCUUUACAAUAUAUGGAUUUGUCUCUGUGACCCAAAUCAACCCAUCCCUACAUUUAUAUACCUUACAGUGGUUUUCUUGCAAAAAAAAAAAAUGUUACAUUUGAGGUGUUCUUUAAGGUUUGGGUUUUUGUUUUCUAACCAACUCAUCGUGUGUUUGAUAGUGAAUUCAUGAAACCUGAAGCUUUUCCCUGUAAAUCUUAAUGUCUUUGCCUUUAAAGAGUGGGUGACAACCAUCGCUAGAUCACAGUAGUGCCUAAUGAAAGGUUGGGAACCACAGGAGAGGCUCUUACAUUGUAAAUAAGGAAGCAAACUGACAACCUUUCAUUAGCUGCUGUGUGCUUCCUGCCUUAAGUGACAAGUGGCAGCGUCGCUUGAGUCACCUGUGUGGUGUUGUAUUGUGCUUGCCACAAGUCAGUGUGCUCCCUGGGUGCCCAGGAGCUAGAAUCCUUAGAUCUUUGUGUCUCCAGACUUAAUUCCCCUGUUCUCUAUGUGUCUGUCAACCCCAAGUCUAUCGCAUUUUAAGAAAAGCAAACACACACACACACAUACACACACACACACAAAGCUUUCUUUAUAGUUAAUCCUAGCUUACUUAACAUGGACUCAGGUUCCCCAGCAGCCUUAAGUUUUUUUGUUACCAUCGUUCUUUCUCAUGGAGUCUCCUUAGUAUUUCUGAGCUUUCCAUUUAGUGUGCCAUCUGUCUCCAUGUCACCUGAUGUCACAAACUGACUUCCCAGCUUGAGAUUUUCUGCGUCCGAUACACGGACUGCGUGCGCUCCUUUACUUCCCCUCCCCUCAUGGCUAUAGAAAGACAAUUUUUUGGCCUUCAGUUGGCUGGGGAAAAAAAAAUUUAAAAAUUU
rnacentral:lncRNA from 1 species